GUGGGGAUGGGAUACUCCGGGAAGAACUUUGCAAGGAUUUCCACCACCUCUCCACGGUGGAGCAUUCUCUCAGCGCAAAUGUAACGGCCGGAGGCUGAAGGUGUCUCGAAGACUAAAAUGUGGGCUAGUGCCACAUCCCUAACAUGCACAUAAGCUUGAACAGAGUUAGCAUAUGUCUUGGCUGAGCCGGUUAGGUACUUGAGGAUGUGACCGAUGCUAGCAUUGACAGUGGGUUGCAACAUUGGUCCAAGCACCAUCACUGGGUUCACCACCACUAGGUCAACUCCAUUCUUCUUAGCCACAUCCCAUGCAUCCUGUUCCGCCACAGUCUUUCCAUAGCAAUACCAAUUCUGCAAUUCCAAGAUGAACUUACAUCAAGAUGUGAAGGAUAGGCAAUCAGGAUUUAAAGAUAUUCUUAUUUACAUCUCCUCUGUAUGCUUGGUGUACCCCAAGUGUAUGUCGUCGGCACAAUAUUUAUGUUAAUCAAUUAUCAUGACAUGUGAUUAAUUAGCAUAUAUUUUAUAUCAAAUUGAUUUAAACAUCAAGUAAUAGCCGAUCCGUGCUCUAAUUAGGAGCUAUUUAAUUAUGUUAAUCAUCACAUGUUAUUAAUUAAAUACCUUGGUGUUCUUGCAAUACUCAAGAUCACUCCAGCAAGAUUCAUCAACGACAACAUCAGGGCUCCUAUUGGGGUCCAUGUACACAGUACCAAUUGAGGACGUGAAAACCACUCGUCGGACUUUGGCCUCAGCUGCUGCCAUGAUCACAUUCUUGGUUCCAUUCACUGCUGGCUCCACCAUUUGUUCCUUCAAGUAUUGGAACACAAAAUCAUAUGUACACAGUACCAAUUGAGGUCCAAGUGUUGUUUUUAUGUUCUUUUCGUAAAAUUCUCAGCAUCCAAACAAAUUUUUUACUACCAAUGUACCGGAAAGAAAGAGAAAAAAGGAAACAUACUGGAUCGCCUGUGACAGGAGAAGCAGUAUGGAAAACUCCAUCACACCCUUGAAUAGCCUCUUUAAGAGACUCAUAAUCUAGGAGAUCAGCCUUGCAUAAAGUUAAUCUUUCUUGAGCUCCUUCAAGCUCCCUCAAAUGGGAAUUCUUCGGAUCAGCUGUUUAUAGCAACUCAAACACAAAGCUUUAAAUUAACACAAUCUUAAGAACAGAAAAAUAAUUUUCAAAGAAACCAAGGGCUUUAUUAUUAUAAACUAACCUGGGUUCCUCACAGUUCCUUUAACAGAGUAACCUUUCUCUAGAAGAAGUUUAACAAUCCAUGAAGCAAUGAAGCCACCAGCCCCGGUGACACAGACAGUUUGGCCUUGGCAUGGAAGUGAUGAAGUAUCGUAAGGCAUGUUGUCUUGAUAUAUUUAUUAUUAUGUGUACGUGUUUGGUGGUAGAACGAAGGAAGAGAGACAGAGAGAGGGAGGUGUGUUCCUUUUCUCUUGAUUUAUAUUUGUUUUAUAUAAGACCAAAGUCUGAAGAUGCAAGGGAAUUCAUUUUGAUUCCGAAGAAUUUUCUAAUUUAUAAAAUAAGAUAAUACGAGGGAUUCAUAUAAGAGGUGUUAAUACUUCCAUAUUAUGUAAUGAAAUAUCUACAACAGUUGUCGGUGAAUGUUGUAAUAUGACAGAAGAACGUAAAAUUCAAUGUAGAUCGACAUUUUGUCUACAUUCACAGAAAUGAGGAGUUUUUAUUUUCACUUUACGUUGAAUAAGGUUACAUAAUAUAUAUUUAUAAUAGACCCUAAUGUUUAAAGGAUAUUAGAUAAUUUUUUAAUAAUACUCAUUCAUUGUACCCUUGAGGCAUUGCCCCUGCACCAACAAAUCUCACAGACAAAUUUUAUCAUUUCGCUUAGCUCCACAUUGAUUUCUUUCUUAUGAGCCAUAAACUACUAUAUAUAUGUGUGUGUGUGUGGGGUUUUAUCUUUUUACAAAUUUGAACAAAACAAAAGGAGAAUGUACUUCACUUAAAUGCACUUGGUAAAUAUGUUUGAUUAUAUUCGUUUUUUUAGUGUUUGUGGGCUUGUGAUGGUCUUCUAAGUUAUGAAUGUAUUUAAUUUCAUUUUUUUUUUAAUUAUUAUAUGUUUUUUUUUAUUCUAAUGAGUAUGUUUGCAUGAUAUGAUAGCAUUUGUAUAGUUAUCAAAGAGUUUAAUUGAGCUAAUCUAUGAUCCACUGUAUUACCUAAGCAUAUUUGAAAACUAGAUUAUUUUAGAUAAAUAUAUAUAUAAAAAAAAACCCUUCGGAUUUGUGAUACAACUGUAUUAUUCAUGUUAUAGAAUAAUAUAAAUCAUAUAUUGAGAUCUCAUUUAAUAGCUUAACCUUUUAGAUUGAGAUAGUUCUUUGACAUGGUAUCAGAGCUUAACAUAACCUCUGUUUUUCGAUCCACCAAUAUGACCUCAACUCCUUUAAACUCAGUUACUCCCGUCAACAUCCAUAGCCUUGUCACAAUUAAACUUACCAAGUAUAAUUACCUUAUUUGGAAAACUCAAAUCGUCCCCUACCUAUGUGGUCAGCGCCUGUUUGGGUUCGUUGAUAGAACCAUCUCUAGUCCUAGCCCCACCAUUCCUAAUCCUGAAUCGGCAACCUCCCAGACUGCUCUUACUGAGAUAUCAAAUCCCAACUACAUUACCUAGUAUGAUCAAUAUUAGGUUGUUCUAAGUGCACUGGUUUCCUACUUAUUCGAGAAUAUCCAGGCACAAAUGGUUGGCCUUACAACUUUAAGAGAAGUUUGGGUAGCCCUCAAGAGAAUGUUUGCGUCUCACUCCUCUAUUCACACCAUAAAAACUCGACAAUUGUUUGCCUCCAUCAAGAAAGUUAACUUGUCAAUUUCCCAUUACUUUCAAAAAAUGAGAUCAUUGCCAGACAACCCCUUCAAAACCAUGAAUUUACAAAUUACCUUUUUUGUGGUCUCGAUACUUCUUAUGAUGUUAUUGUCAUGUCAAUUUCCACUCAAAUUGACAAAAUGACUUUAGAAGAUAUGUUUAGCCAUCUUCUUGCAUUUGAGUUUUGACAAGAGCAGCAACAAAUUGACAUCGACACCUCUAUUGGCUCAGUGAACAUGGCCCCAAGGAAUGAGUAUAGGUCGCGCAGUUGAAAAUAUAACGGCAAUGCUUUCCUCAGAACCAGUCCCAUGGUUCCAACAACAUAGGAAGGGGAUGUGGAAAUAGAGGAAGAGGCCCACCUCCAAACUACUCCUCCAACCUAAAACCACAAUGCCAAGUGUGUGGAAGAAUUGGCCACACCGCCAUUCAAUGUUAUUGCACGUUCGAUCAUGCCUGCCUAGGCACUCCUUCUUAUAUGGCGGCUUAUAUGACAUCUCCCUCAUCACAACAUGAUACCAACUGGUAUAUGGAUAUUGGUUCAACAAACCACCUCACCAAUAACUUCAGUAACUUGUAUGUGUGAUCAGAACCUUAUCUAGGCAACAACUAGAUUCAUGUUGACGAUAUGGCAGGUUUACCUAUAAAAGAAUAUUGGUUUCGCCACUCUUUCAACCCCAACAAAUUAUUUUAUUUUAAAUAAGUUACUUCAUGUACCUCAGAUUAAUAAGAAUUUGAUUUCUGUUAGCCAAUUUACGAGUGAUAAUAAUGUCUAUCUUGAAAUUCAAGAAAAUAAUUUGUGUUUAAGAAAUGCAUGCGAAAACACAUUUUCAAAAAACUUCCAAUAUUUUUUAUAUAUAAAAAGAACGUUCAAAACAUAUUAGGGUAUUGGUCGUAUGCAACACAUAAAAAACAUUUUUUAUAUUUUCUUUGCAAAAUACACACACGUCACAGUUAAAUAUCGCAAUUAAAGUCAACAAACCACAUAUUAAUCAAAUUCUUAAGGCUUUAAGAAAUCAACUAUUAAAUCCCAGAAUAUAUAUAGAAACAUGUUCUACAUGUUUUCAAAAACACAUUUUCAAAAAACUUCAAAUAUUUUUUAUAUAUAAAAAGAACGUUCAAAACAUGUUAGGGUAUUGGCCGUAUGCAACACACAAAAAACAUUUUUUAUAUUUUCUUUGCAAAAUACACACACGUCACAGUUAAAUAUCGCAAUUAAAGUCAACAAACCACAUAUUAAUCAAAUUCUUAAGGCUUUAUGAAAUCAACUAUUAAAUCCCAGAAUAUAUGUAGAAACAUGUUCUUAUAUUUUCACAAAAAAUACAACAUGAUUUUAUUUGUCCUUCAGAUACUUGACCAUAUACAAAAUUAAAACAUUAAAUUCAUUUUUUUUCUUUUGAUUUUAUAAUUCAACAACAUACAUAAAAAACUACAAACACACACACAUCCCCCUUUUAUUAUGUUUUUUCUCAUACACCCAUAUGUAAUUACAAAUAACAUAAAUUCAAAACAAUUCUAAACACAUAAUAUACAAUUCAGAAAUUGCAAAAUAGACCCCCAAAUAUUCUGGAAUUGUAGAGGAACACUUCUGGGAAUGCAGGAAUAGUGCGGCGCGUCUGCUCCAGGCGCCGUCGCCACUAGCAGCGCGUGGGUUCGCACACCGCCGUAAGAAAAACAGAGGCCGGUGUGGAUCUGGCUUCGCUUCAUCCCUUCUUCCCUUCCUCGCCGGCGGUGACUUGUAAAACACCCAAAAACGCAACAAAAUAGUUGAUUUUAAUUUUUCUUUUUGUGCAGAUCCCCAAGUCUGUUUUAGUUAGUUUUUAGAUCUAUUUUCUUCUGCUUUCCCUUUCUGGAUCUGCUUCUCUCUCUCUCUACAGAUCUUUUUUUUUUAUUUCCCCUUCUUCUAUGUUUCCGGUGGCUAGCUGUAUGUACAAAGGACUGUUGGCGACCGAGUGUUGGUCGUGUCUGUGAUGCUACUGGCGAGGAAGGAGACAUUGCUACCCGAGGAGUGGGUCAUCGCUGGAUGAUCUUCACUCCUGUUGGUGGCAGCGGUGGUUGGAUUUUGCUACCGUUGUCCGGCUGCAAAGGGAUAGGCUUUAUGUGUGCAGCCGAGAGAGGGAAGGAGGAGCAAAGGGGGGUGAAGAUCUGUUUGCCCGGUUGAGAGAGGAGAGAGAUGAUGGUUGAACGACUGUUGAGACGGAAAUGAGAUACAGGAGCAACUGAGUCUUGUUGGAGUGGUGAUAAUGAUCAGUGAUGGGGGGCUGUGUGGUUUUAGUAUGUUGGAGGAGGCAGUGGUCUGGUCGGUUUGGUGGACAAUGAAUCUAUUGGUGUUUCAAAGAGAGAAGAUGAGUGUGUGGUUUUUGUCAGGGUGAAGGCUUGGCUUGUGGUUUCGGGUUGGCUAUAGGUAAGAGGAGAGAGGAAUCGUCGGGUGGCUUUGAUUCUCUCUUUUUAUGUACAAGACAGGGCGAGGCCGCCGGCUGCUGUAGGGAAGAUAAAUUUAGGUUUAGGGUUUUCUUGCUUUUCCCUUAUUUUUUUUGAAAAAUUGCCUCCUUGUGAUUAUUUUUCUCUCCCUUUUUAUUAUAGCCGGAGGUUCACUUAUAUAGAAAAUUUCUACAUGUGCUAUUCAAGGAAAUAUUGCAAUAAUUAUUGCAAAGAUUGUCUUCUAUAACCAGCACCAACAAAUCCUAUAUAUAUGGUAUUUUAUAUUGCAGUGAUUAUUUUCCAUAACCAGCACUAAUCAAAUCAUAUAUCUAUGGUAUUUUAUAUUGCAAUAAUUAUAUGAUUCAAUAAUUAUCUCCUUGAUAUAUUGCUUCCUUAAUAUUAGCCCUUAUGCUCUAGGUUAUCGCCAUAUGGAAACCUUUUAUUUAUUUUUUAUUUUUUUAUUAUUGAAAAUUUAUCAAAACUAUCGCAUGUCACCCGCGUGGCAUCGGUUGACGAUUUUUCAUUUUGUUGUUUGAUUCGUUCAUUGGAAAUCGCCACCUAGUAUUUAAUUGAAGGCUACUAGGAAACCCGAAUGUACUGGUCUUGUCAGAGAUUUGCGGGUAAAGAACUGGUUGUGGUUAGGGAAGAUAUUAGCACCUCUAACGCGCCCUACAUGAGGUAAGCUGCUUUGUGGCUUUAAUGUGUUAAAAAAGUUUUAAAAAUUUUAUCUUUUCAUCGAAUAUUAGAAAUACGACUUACGUAUAAGUUCAUAAUUCUUUAUAGUGUGCCAAUCAAAAUAUUAAAUUCUUUUUUUACAUUUGCAAUUUUAUCAUAAAAUAAAAAUAAAAAAAUCCACAAAACAAAUACAAACACACACAUUCACUUUUCCUAUAUUUUUUUUUCUUUUAUUUUUCUUUUUCUUUUUCUUUUUCCUUUUUUUUAAUACACACUACAAAUUAUAAAAAUUCAAAAAAACUAAACAAAAAUUACAUUAAACAAUUCCAAAAUUAUAAAAUAGCCCCUAAAAAAUCUGUAACAGUGCUGGGAAGCCUUCUAGAACUAUAGGAACAGUGCUGGAACAGUGGCGGCGCAUUGCUCCACGCGCCAUCGCCACUGGUGGCGUAUGGGCUCACGCGCCGCCACUAGAAAAACCCAAAAACAGAGGGGAUCUGGAUCGACUUCUUCCCCUCUUCUUUUCCUCACCGGCGGUGAGAAUCACUGUCACCUACAAAAGGAGAAAAACACGCAAGCCAGUUGAUUUUAAUUUCUUUCUCCUUCCCGGUCUCGGGUCUGCUUUUUUCUGCUAUGAUUUGUUCUUCUUUUCUUCUUCUAGUGGCCAAUCUGGCGGUUGUUGAGGGAGCUGCGAUGGUGGUCAAGGCAUUGGUGGUCUUCGCUCCUAUUGGUAGCAACGAUUGUUGGCUAUGUGGGUGUUGCCCUGUGUUGGCUGCUGCUGGAGGAAGCUUCGGUGUUGAUGGAGAUGAAGAGAUCGGGGAAGAUGGAGAGGCGGCCAGCGAGAGGGGAGAGCAAAGGGGAAAGACUCUGUCCUCUUUUGGUUUUGGCGAGCUGUGGUUGGGAAAAUGGGGAGAGUUGGCUUUGAUUUUGGAGAUUAAGAGGCAAACAACAGGGAGAGUAUGGAUGGGGCUAUAUUGUGGAGGAGCUAAGGUUGGUUAUGGGGAGCAACGAUGAUGGAGGGGGCAGCUGGGUGAGGGAGAAGAAGAUGGGGUUACGGUGUGGAGGAGAAAAAAUCAAACCGGGAAGGGAUUCUGUGUUGUGGCCUCAAGGGAAAAGGGGGACGAUCGGUCUCUGUUGAACAGGGAAGAGAGGCUAGCUGGGGUCAAAAAGAAAAUGUGAGAUCGUUGGGGAAGAAGAAAAUCCAAAACCAGUAAGGGGCGGCGCGACUGGUCUUGUUAUUUUGGCCAAAUGAGGGCACCGACUUGGGUCAAGAGAUAGGUUUUUUAGGGUUAGGUUUUGUUUUUUGUAUUAUCUCUUCAAUGUGCAAAAUUGCCCCCCUUGAGUGUGCUGAGGAGACCAUAUUUAUAAGUAAAAAUGUUGCUAGGUUUUCAAACUUGGUCCCUCAACUUCUUUCAUUUUCUUGUAAAUUUGAUUUUUCUUGUUUUUUUGGAUUUUUUAAUAUCAACAUUGACUCAAAAUAAGAAAAAUCAGUGAUUUUAAAAAUAACACAUUAAAAGUAGAACGCGUUCUAAAAACCUUUGAAAAUUUAAAUUCUUUUUAGACGAUGCUAAAAAUUCUAAAAAUGAUGCAAAUAUAUUAAAAAAACGUAUUUUUUGGAUUUUCGAUGUUUUUUCUCUAUUUUUGGAUUUUUCUGAAAAUUUAUCAAAACAUAGGUCAAAAUUUGGGUAGCAACAAAAACAUGGGUCAAAAAUUGGGUAGCAACAAUUCUAAACAAAUCUAUGGCUAAGUUUGCUAUCAAAACCGGAGUUGUGAUAUUUGAACUUGUGAAGCGACUAAGUUUAAUAAUUAUGAUGGAUCUAUGUUGGUAAUCUUAGGGGAAACAUUCAACUAAAUCGAUAAUAUAUUGUAGACAGUUACGUUGUCUAAGAUUUAUCAAACUAUCUAGCUUUUAAGGCUGCCAUUGAUUUAAAUGACUAGUGCGGAUAUUGUGGUUGUUUAAUAGUUAUGGUUAGUUACAUUGUGGAUAAGUUAAGUGACUAAUGUUAAGAAAAGAUAGAUAUUCUUAAUAUAAAUUGACGUAUCAUUUCAGUGAUCAGUUUUGAUUUUCGUAGGUGGACAUUUAAUUGAGACCAAGGUUUUUCUUUUAAUAAAUUUUGGAUUUAUUUAAUUUAGCUUGAUUAAUUAUAACAAUAGCUAAAAGGAGUCAGUGUUUUACUGUGGAUUGCACUGUGCAAUCCACAGUAAAACACUGACUCCUUUAACACUGAAUCACCGAUGCUUUAAGUGUUUUUUUUUUUUUUAAUUUUAUAAUGCCUUUUAGGAAUUUUCCUUUACUUCUUUCUUUGUUUUUUUUUUUUCCUCUUAACACAAUUUUUAGGUGGGUUUUUUUUUUAAGUUGUAUUAUUUUUUUAUGCCUUUUUUUUUCUUUUAACAAUUUUUUUUGUUUAAUUUAGUUUAUUAAUGUUAAUUUUUUUUAUUUCGUUAUCAGAUUUUCAUGACAUGUUUUCCGGAUUUAAUGGGUUAACCUGAUAUGAAAAGUUAACCUAUAAUAUUGUUUUUUGCUUUUUAUUCUUUUUAAUUAAUUUUUUUGUUUAGUUUAGUUUGUUAAUGUUAAAUUUCUUUCUAUUUAUUUAUUAGACUUUCAUGACACAUAUCCUGAAUUUCACGGGUUAACCUGGUUUCACGGGUGAACCCAGUUAAUUCUGGGUUGACCCGUCAAUUUUUUUUUUCAUAAAUUUUUUUGUUUAAUUUAGUUUGUUAAUGUUAAUUUUUUUUAUUUAAUUAUCAGACUUUCAUGACACAGAUCUUGAGUUUAACGGAUUAACAUGGUUUGACGAGUUAACCCGGAAUUGUUUUUUGAUUUUUCGUUUUUAAUUAAUUUUUUUUUGUUUAGUUCAGUUUAUUAAUGUUCACUUUUUUUUUUAUUUAGGUACCAGACAUUCAUGACACAGAUCCCAGGUUUAACAAGUUAACUUGGUUUGACGAGUUAACCUGAAUUUUUUUUUUGUUUAGUUUUUUUUGUUAAUGUUAAGUUUCUUUCUAUUUAGUUUUUUUUUCUUCUUAGAGGUUUUUUUAUUUUAUUUUUUCUUUUUAAUUAAUUUAGUUUAUUAAUAUUAAAUUUUUUCUAAGUACGUAGUUCUCGGCUAAUACCUUUAGUUUUUCUUUUUGUUUUUAUGCCUUUGACAGUGGACUGCACAAUGCAGUCCACAAUGAAAAGGUUGAUGCCUUUUAUUUAUUUUUAAUUAUUUGUUUUUGUUUAAUUUAAAUUAUUAAUGUUUAAUUUUUUUUCUAUUUAGUUAUCAAACUUUCAUGACACAGAUUAUGGUUCUGACAGGUUAACCUGAUUUGACGAGUUAGCCCAGUUAAUUCUGGGCUAACCCAUUAAUUUGUUUUUUUUUCUUUUUAAUUAUCAAACUUUCACGAUGCGAAUUCAAGGUAUGACGAGUUAACCUGGUUUGAAGGGUUAACCUACUUAAUUCAUAUUUUUUUUCUUUUUUUUCAUUAGUUUUUUUUUCCUGUUGGUUUUUUUUUUUAACUAAUCUAUUUAAUUAUCACACUUUUAUGACACGACCUUGCAGCCAUACCCACGUCCAAUGCUAUUAGGUAUGAUAUUACAGUCCAGAUACUUUUAUGUUAAUGGUUAACCCAAGUUUAAUGUUAUUAUUAAUAUUAUAAAUAUUGCUCUUGGAUCAGGCGUUGCAACCAAACAUAAGACUCUUGAGUAUAAAUUUGCAAAAAAACCUAAUAUUUUCAGAUCUUGAAUUUUUUUAAAAUAAAAAAAAUAAUUGACCCGCGGCAUCGCGCGGGGCAUGUAACUAGUUUGUUCUAUUUACCAUAGUAUAGUCUAAAUAACAUCAAAACCCUCUUAACUUUGAAUCAUCUAGUAUAAAGACUUGAAUUAGAUCUUGCACGUGAAAUCGACCAUUUACUUGCUCUAUACUAUUGAUUUUUAGACCUUAUUUUGGAAGAUAGAUAAUCAAUUCUCAAUCCAAGGGAAGCCACAGAGAUGGUAUUGAUUCCAUAUUGAAAUUGGAUUAAACUUAAACAACAACCACACGAAAAAAAAAAAAAAAGCGGAACACUUAAAAGUUACGUCCAAUAAUUGAUUCAUUAGAGGAUUAAAACAUUGAUUAAUCUAAGCACGAAGACAAUUAGAGGUCUUAGAAGACAGUAACACUUGCACUCUACAUUCUUCUUUAGUAUAUUGUUUUCCCUAAUAUGUAUUUUGCAAACAACUACGACCACACUUGGGGUGUGGACAUGUACGUCCCCUCCUAAUAAAUGAGCUCUUAUUGAAUUUUCACAGAGUCUUCAGCUUGUUUUGGGAUUGGAAGGUGACCCUUUUCCUGCAAGCUCUUAACAGUUUCAUACAGGCACUGUUUCACUGGGGUGAAUUCCAUGCCGAGAUCCUUGAUCUUCUGGUUUGUGAACUUGUAUGGUUGUUUUCUUGGGUUCUUCUCAUCUGAACACCUGCAAAUGCAUUGCAAUACAAAAUAUUAAUACUCAAGAUUAAUAAAAAAAAACACAGCACAACUAAUUCUUUCUACAAACUUGGUAGCUUUUUUUCUACAAAAUAUUAAUAUUCACUAGCUCAUUAAGCACUACAAUUAGACAAACAAGUUUUGUGGCAUAUAAUUUCAUGAGAUUAGGAUUUAGGACCCAAUAAUUCUCUUCCUAACUCUCCAUGACAAAAUUUGAAAAUACAUAACAAAGCAAGAUUUAACUUGUGAUCCAAUAACUUUAUGCAGUACCAAUCGUAGAGAACCCAUUUUGGUCCAAAUAUGACAAAGACGAUGGGGUUGGUGAGGACCCUUUUGCUGCACUAAUGUCAAAUCAUUUGGCUUUCUUUGUUGAUGAUUCAAAAAAAUAAUGCCACGGGGGAUUCGAUUUUUGGUUAAGAUUAUAAUACAAGUCAAAAUUGGGACAACAAUUGCCCCACGAUACCAUUAAGAAACCAAAAAAAUAAAAAUAAAAUAAGGACAGAAAACACUUUUCUUCAUUUAUUUUCUUAUUUUGGGCAUGAAUAGGGAUGAAGUAUCAGAAAACUGUCAUGCAACAGGUAGUGAGGAUUUUAUUCUCUAAUUUAAUUAUUGUACAAAAUCUUCUAGCAUUCAUUGCACUAAGUUGCUUUAUAUAUAUAUAUAUAUAUAUAUGUCACCAAGAAAGUAAAAAAUAUACGAGCCUUAAAUUGACUAUCAUCUUCUAGCAUUUUUUGCACCAAGUUGCAAAUAUAUUGUCUCUUAAAAUCAUAAUAUAAUUUUGUAAAUGAAGAUUUGAAGAAAAAUCGAGAAAGGACCAUGAAAGAAAAAUUGGUUAGUAAUUAUGUAAAAUUAUAUUUGUUUGUUUUUGCGUUCAAAAAAUUCUUUUUAAAAUUGUUCAAAAUCAUAAGAACUUACUUGGUGGGGAUGGGAUACUCCGGGAAGAACUUCGCAAGGAUUUCCACCACCUCUCCACGGUGGAGCAUUCUCUCAGCGCAAAUGUAACGGCCGGAGGCGGAAGGUGUCUCGAAGACUAAAAUGUGGGCUAGUGCCACAUCCUUAACAUGCACAUAAGCUUGAACAGAGUUAGCAUAUGUCUUGGCUGAGCCGGUUAGGUACUUGAGGAUGUGAAGGACGCUAGCAUUGACAGUG
rnacentral:lncRNA from 1 species